rnacentral:rRNA from 1 species
UCGAGAAUCUUCGGCAAUGGGCGCAAGCCUGACCGAGCGACGCCACGUGCGGGAUGACGGCCCUCGGGUUGUAAACCGCUGUCGGGGGGGAUGAAGUCACGGGGGGUACUCCCCUCGUGUUGACAGAGCCCCGGAGGAAGCGCGGGCUAAGUACGUGCCAGCAGCCGCGGUAAGACGUACUGCGCGAACGUUAUUCGGAAUCACUGGGCUUAAAGGGUGCGCAGGCGGCUCGUCAAGCCCGUGGUGAAAGGCCCCGGCCCAACCGGGGACGGUCUUCGGGGACUGACGAGCUCGGGCGACCUAGGGGUCUGUGGAACUCCCGGUGGAGCGGUGAAAUGUGUUGAGAUCGGGAGGAACGCCGGUGGCGAAAGCGACAGACUGGGGGUUUGCCGACGCUCAUGCACGAAAGCCAGGGGAGCGAACG